rnacentral:rRNA from 1 species
UACGGGGGGGGCAAGCGUUGUUCGGAUUUACUGGGCGUAAAGGGCGCGUAGGCGGUCAGCACAAGUCAGUUGUGAAAUCUCCGGGCUUAACUCGGAAAGGUCAACUGAUACUGUGCGACUAGAGUGCAGAAGGGGCAACUGGAAUUCUCGGUGUAGCGGUGAAAUGCGCAGAUAUCGGGAGGAACACCGGUGGCGAAAGCGGCUCUCUGGGGACCACCUGACGCUGAGGCGCGAAAGCGUGGGGAGCGAACCGG